CUUCCAGGGAUGGAAGCCGCCCUUGGCGAAGGCGCUCGACUCCGGCAGCGUCGUCAGCGGGCUCGUGUUGCCGAUCUUGUUACAGGACUCAAGUCGCUCGCCUUCCGCUCGCCAUAAGUCCGCUCCUCUCAAAGAAGCUCCCAAGUCGCCCUCCGGGAUGAAGCGCGGAGGUUAACACAUCGACAGCAAACACCAGGCACCUCCUGGAUUCCAAUAAUUUGGAAAGAAUGAGUCCCAGAAAUGUGGAAAGUGCUCAAAGAAGCUGAGGCUGCAUUCGGGCAGCAACAGUUUCUCCAGAGCCUCCAAACUGGAGAAGCCAUAACGAAAAAUUACUCCUGUUAAAACAAGCAAAUACCGCACUUUCGACUUACCCCAAGUAUAGACGUGGCCAUAGCAGGUCCCUGGGUGGCGUGGCGGGGCCUGGAGCGAGGCUGAGCCUGGC